rnacentral:rRNA from 1 species
GAUGAACGCUGGCGGCGUGCCUAAUACAUGCAAGUCGAGCGAACGUACGAGAAGCUUUCUUCUCUGAUGUUAGCGUCUGACGGGUGAGUAACACGUUGAUAACCUCCCUAUUAAACUGGGAUUCCUUCGGGAAACCGGAGCUAAUACCGGAUAAUAUUUUGCACCGUAUGUUUCAACAGUGUAAUACGGUCUUGCUGUCACUUAUAGAUGGAUCCGCGCUGCAUUAGCUAGUUGGUAAGGUAACGGCUUACCAAGGCAACGAUGCAUAGCCGACCUGAGAGGGUGAUCGGCCACCCUGGAACUGAGACACGGGGCAGAAUCCUAAGGGAGGCAGCAGUAGGGAAUCUUCCGCAAAGGGCGAAAGCCUGAAGGAGAAAAGCCGCGUGAGUGAUGAAGGUCUUCGGAUCGUAAAACACUGUGAUUAGGGAAGAACAUAUGUGUAAGUAAAUGUGAAAAUCUUGACGGUACCUAAUCAGAAAGCCACGGCUAACUACGUG